GUGUAAGAAGCUACAAUGCACAAGUAGUCAAGCACUAAGUAUGAAAAUCAGUUAUGGGAUGCUUUAUCUUAAAGAGUUGUCAUUAGUCUAUGGCAAAGUUGCUUGAAUGGGAAGUUGAAUGAUAUACUAAUAAAAAGGGUUGGGCUUGAUGUCCACUUGCUCUGCGGUUUGCUUUCAGUGUGGUUUUAUGCAUACCAUGUAUUCGAUGAUAAAUGCCAAUGUGGUUUUAAUAUUUUCUUAUGUCAAAUGUUUUAUUAUAGAAUCCAUCUCAUAAAUUAGCUUCUAGGAAAUCAUGUUGUAUAUUUUUUUAUGUAAAAUAUUAUGUCAACUUAAGUGUAGUUUAAUUAGUUUUUUAUUGUGCUGAUGUAAUCAAAAUGUCAGAGCUCAUCUCCUUCUUUUUAAAUUUCUAUUCUUGAAAUAUUGAAUAUGGACAAUAAUGGUACCGGUACUAGUUACUGAAUUUCCCGAACUGAAUCGAUUUUUGGUAUCGACAUUUUGCGUUUUUGGUACCGCUAUUCAUCGGUUUUUACCUUUAAAUACUGCUACCGAAUCAUACCGUACGGAGUAUUUUCGGUACCGGUACCCAUUUUUUGAGAUUUUUUGUACCGGUAUUUUUGGUACCGGUAU